CAGAUUGUCGAUUGUGUGAUUCUUCUUCUCCAACAAAGCAGCCAUUGCUACAACAUAUAUGCUAGUCUUGUAUUCACUGGCGCUGGCAAUGGCCUCAGAGUCGGUCAUUUCUGCCAAGGCCGGCGGAUGAACUACCCGAGAAUUAUUCCUCGAAAAAUUUCAAGAAACAGACUUUCUUUUACCCUUUCAUCUGCUUCACAAUAUCUCAAUUGGAAAAUUUAAGGAUACAGAUAAGCAGCGUAAUGGGAUUAUUUUGGAGCCUGAUUGACAUGAGUGUGGAUUUGAACGGGGGAUUACAUGCUGUAAUCAAAGAGAGUAUUGGUCCUAUUGGAUGCUAUGCAUCGUGGUUGAUGGCUGGUAGUAUGCGUGAAAAAUUACAGACACCAAUUGUUCGACUAAAUGCCUGAGAUGUACAAUAACUGGAAAUGUCAACAACGAGUCUUAUUCAAUAGGUUAUCGAUUAUGAUGAACAGGGUCGAAACGUGCAUUUUAAAGAACUAUUGAAUUCCUCAAUCCAAUUUUACAGUUGACUGCUUAUUUUCUUCCCAGUGCUUUCUAUUUGGCAAAAUGAAGAAAGGAAAACAUUUCGAGCACUCCAAACAUUUAGUAUCAGAACAACAGAAAACAGAACAAGAGGAACAAAAGAAUAUAUGCAUAUAUACACAAAACUACCAUACCAAAAAAUGAGAAGCAUUUUAUCAGACAACUCUUGGCUUGGAAGAGGAUGUCAGAUUAAAAACUUAGACAACAUAAUCCCUCCUGAUGCUACAAUCAAUUACACUCCAUCAUACUCCAAAAUUCAGACAAUCCUUUAAUGAUUUUUUUUACUUGUAAAUUUUCCUCUGAAAAAAUGGUGGUGUUCUGAGAGAGAGAGGGAGGGAGGGAG